rnacentral:lncRNA from 1 species
AGCGAGCGGCGCGCAGGAGAACCAGCGCGGGGGCAAAGCCGCCCUGCCCAGUGCCCAUGCCGUGGAGAUGCUCACGACGGGGCCAGCUCCUGCGCGUCCGUUCUCCGACAUGGAAGAACAAGAUAUGGAAGCUACCUCUGGAUUCUGACCCUUUCGUGGUCUUCUCCCUCCCGACUCCUCGGUUGGCAGCUUUCUGCGGGCUUCACAAUUCCCUGGACCUCUGCAACAUUGUGAAAACGAAGGAAACUUCUGGUAACUGGAGUACAGAUGAUGAUACCUGGAGAACUGACCAAGAGCGGAGAAAUAAAGGAGAGCUGUAUCCCCUUCAUUCCUCAGGCCUCAGUUUGGCCUCCUGAGCCAAGAAAAAUGGAGAGACAGAGCCGGUGCCUGAAAUGCUGGAUUUAUUGUCACUGUAUUGCAUGGUUCCUAUGCCUUGGAAAUUUACAACUGCCGUUCAGUCCAAGAACUAUUGAUACUACAGCUAAUAACAUGUAGGUAUUGAUCUUCAGUUUUUUUGGCCUGCAGCCAAAUAUGUGCUUGUUAAUACUAAUCAAUAUCUGAACUUCUCAGUUUCCUUCUCCUCUGAAUUUUCCCCUCUUUUCCUGCUUACUACCUUCACUAGCUUUUCUUUGGAAAAAAUAAUAUAGCCUGAAGAAAGAAGAGUCUAUUUCUGGCCAUGUCACUUUUUACGUUAUCGUUGUUGUUAUGUGUUAUCAAGUCACUUCCAAUUUAUGUCAGCUUUCUUUAGGGAGUCAGUCCAUCUUAUAUUUGGUCUUCCUCUUUUCCGGCUGCUUUCCACUUUUCCCAACAUUAAUGUCUUGUUCAGAGAAUCCUGCCUUCUCAUUCUGAAAGUAGGACAGCCCCAGUUUCAACAUUUUUGCCUCUAGAGAUAACU